UACGUAGGCAGCAAGCGUUGUUCGGAGUUACUGGGCGUAAAGGGUGUGUAGGCGGUUGGAUAAGUGUGGUGUGAAAUCUCCCGGCUUAACUGGGAGGGUGCGCUACAAACUGUCUGACUAGAGUGUGGGAUGGGUAAGUGGAAUUCCCGGUGUAGCGGUGAAAUGCGCAGAUAUCGGGAGGAACACCGGUGGCGAAGGCGGUUCUCUGGGCCUUACCUGACGCUGAGGAGCGAAAGCGUGGGGAGCGAACAGG
rnacentral:rRNA from 1 species